GGAGGCUGUGGUGGCGGCGGCUGCGGCGGCGGCGGCGGCGGCUGCGGCUGAGGAGGCAACGGAGGAAACAGAAGAUGGCAGAUUUUUUGAAAGGAUUGCCUGUCUACAACAAAAGCAAUUUUAGCCGAUUUCAUGCCGACUCAGUGUGCAAAGCUUCGAACCGACGCCCCUCAGUCUACCUGCCCACUAGGGAGUACCCAUCUGAGCAGAUCAUCGUGACGGAAAAGACAAACAUCCUCCUGCGCUACCUACACCAGCAGUGGGACAAAAAGAAUGCUGCCAAGAAGAGAGACCAGGAGCAGGUGGACGGGGAAGGGGAGAGCUCAGCACCCCCCCGCAAGGUGGCACGGACCGACAGCCCGGACAUGCACGAGGAUACCUAGGACUCCCACUCCCCACCGGCGCCUCCUGUGCCAGCUCCUCCGUCACCCACCCACCUGCCCUCCAUGUUGCGUGCUCCGUGUCCACCCCAAUAAAGGAUCUUUCCUACUUGACCUCGCGUCUUUGCUCCACACGCCUUGGCCCCAGAGGACGGAGCACCUGAGAGUUCUCCUGGCAUCACCAAGAGGGACGGAAAGGGGCCCCUCGUGCUGGGGCCCCGGGAACAGCUGGAUUCUUUGCUGAGCCUGCUGCAGCCAUCACACUCAAAGCCAAGACCUGCGAGGACCGGCCCUCUGCCUCACUCAUCCAGGUCAUCCCUGAGAGACGGUCUGUAGUGCUGAGGAUGGAGCUGGAUCACACUCAGAGCACCAAGCAGGGGCAGUGACAGCAGACGUGGUGUUUGACAGGAGAGGCCAGCUCAGUUGGUCUGGCCUCACACAACGUUGCUUAGAUAAGAGCCAGACCUACUGUCAGCAUCUGUCAGUCUGUGCUAGUCUGUGUCCCACGCCACUCGAAAGGGCUCAAUGUGAGGCUGAGCUCAGGAUGGAGGGGCCAGUUUGGGCUCUGGACAGACGGCCGUGACGACUGGGCUGGGGGUACGGCAACCCCCCCCCCCGCCCCAGCCCCUAGUGGAGGUCAUGGUUUUGAGAGCUGAGUGUUAGGGGUGUCGGGAGUGAGCAAUGGGGCAUAGAUGGAGGAAGGUGACUGGGAGGGUUACGUACCCCAGAUCAUCGAUGGGGACCCUGCCUUAGCUGCCCUGCUCCCUGGGGCAGGUGGUGCUAGGUUGGCUGAAUGCCUGAACCAGCCCUGGGCCUAUGUAGUGGACUGAGGCCCCUGUAGUCACAGGAGGCAAUGCAGGUGACCUUGUUCUUGUGUCAAGGUGUGGGGUGGGCUGAGCUCUAGACACGUAAGGAGUCUGCAGCCCCUGGGUUUGGUAAAUCCUGGGCAGACGCAUGUACCACUGCAUGGUGGCAGACAGUGGGACCUCAAAGGUCAGGAGCAGAGUGGGAGCAGGUAAGCCCUGGGUUCACCCAGGCCUGUCCACUUCCCCCUAGAGGGGCUGGGUCCAUCCUGCUCUCUGGCUCUGGUGGAUCAUGCCCACCAGGCCUCCUGGUGGUCUCCCCCAGGACUCAUGGGUCUGUGUGCCCUGCCCCUGUGCAUACACCCUCUGGUGGCCUGUGGUUCUCAGGCCUGUAAGCCAACCUCUGCCCCACUCCAGCAUUGGGCCCCCCUUGCCCACUGUCCCUCAGAGCCUUCACACAGGCUGCCCACUGGCCUCCAACAGGCCCCUAAGUACCCCUUGCUGAAACUGGCAUCCCCAGCUGGGGGGGAGUGGGGGGAACAGGACACACUCCUCUUCCACAUGAACUUGAUGGUCUGACCCGCUGUGUUCCUGUCCCCAUGUUGUUACCUCAAAAAGUCCCAAUAAUUUGUGUCUGCCAUCCGUGAUGGGACGUCUAUCCCUGUCCUGGGCACCGCUCCCAACCAUCCUCUUGAUGUGGGGCUCAGGUGCCAGGUGCCUUCCAGUGUUGACACCCCGUACCCUUCCCACCUGUCUGGCUUCCCAGGUGCCAGCCCAGGAGGCGGUGUGCCAGAAAGUUCCACCUCUUCUACACUACUCGCCCUAUGCAGCUGAGGACUGUCCUGUCCUGUCCCCAUCACCCUCUUCACUUCUGAGUCCUUUCAGCAUUCAGAUUUCUCCCUCCGUCUACUAGGGGGCUGAAGCCAGGCCUCAGGCCCCACAGCUCCUCCAGAGCAAGUCGGUCCCCCAGAUUCGGGACUUUAACAUCUGUGGCCCUAAGACCCAAUUCCUGAGAGGAGGCCCCUAAGGGUACAGCCUGUGGCAGAACCAUUCCAGGCCCCCAGACACCCUGAUCCAUUGCUCUGACUUCCACACUGUUGAAAUAUACUUUUUAUUGCAUUUCUGCCGUUUU